UACGUAGGGUGCGAGCGUUGUCCGGAAUUAUUGGGCGUAAAGAGCUCGUAGGCGGCUUGUUGCGUCGGAUGUGAAAGCUCGGGGCUUAACUCCGGGUCGGCAUUCGAUACGGGCAGGCUAGAGUGUGGUAGGGGAGAUCGGAAUUCCUGGUGUAGCGGUGAAAUGCGCAGAUAUCAGGAGGAACACCGGUGGCGACGGCGGAUCUCUGGGCCAAUUACUGACGCUGAGGAGCGAAAGCGUGGGGAGCGAACAGG
rnacentral:rRNA from 1 species